CCCUUAGAUGUCCUGGGCCGCACGCGUGCUACACUGACGCCUACAGCGAGUACUUCCCAGCCCCGAGAGGUGGCUGGUAAUCAGCAAUAGGCGUCGUGAUGGGGAUAGAUCUUUGGAAUUAUGGAUCUUGAACGAGGAAUGCCUAGUAAGCGCAGGUCGUUAGCCUGCGCUGAUUAAGUCCCUGCCCUUUGUACACACCGCCCGUCGCUCCUACCGAUUUCGAGUGGUCCGGUGAAUCUUUCGGACUGCGCGCGGCCUCGUGCCGUGUCGCGGAAAGUCAGGUAAACCUUAUCACUUAGAGGAAGGAGAAGUCGUAACA
rnacentral:rRNA from 1 species